rnacentral:ncRNA from 2 species
CCCCAUGUCGCUUGCGUUGGUGUCUGUGCAAACAGAUGAAAAGGGAAUGUGUCAUUCGGCGUCCAGCCGAUUAAACACAGCCGCCCCCGCGACCGUGACCGGAGAGGGUGCCCAAGCCACUGGCCAAUCAGGCCGGGAAGGCGGGUCGCCCGACAGAGACGCCUCUCUGACAUCCGCAAGCCGGGAGACCUGCCAACACCUGAAAGACCAA